UUAUCAAAAACAUGUCUUUUUGUAUUAUAUUUAAAGUCUAACCUGCCCAUUGAAUAAUUUUAAAAGGCUGCGGUAUUUUGACCGUACAAAGGUAGCAUAAUCAUUAGUUUUUUAAUUGAAAACUUGUAUGAAUGGUUCAACGAAAUAUUUUCUGUUUCAUAAAAAUUUAUAUAGAAAUUAAUUUUUUAGUUAAAAAGCUGAAAUAUAAUUAAAAGACGAGAAGACCCUAUAGAGUUUUAUAUAAAAUUAUUUAUAAUUUAUUUAUAUUAUUUAAAAUUUUAUUUAAUUUUAUAUUUUGUUGGGGUGACAGUAAAAUUUAUUAACCUUUUAUUAUUUUUAAACAAUGAUUUUUGAUUUAUUGAUCCAUUUUUUAUGAUUAAAAGAUUAAAUUACCUUAGGGAUAACAGCGUAAUUUUUUUGUAGAGUUCUUAUCGAUAAAAAUUUUUGCGACCUCGAUGUUGGAUUAAGAAUAGUUUUAGGUGUAGAAGCUUAUUAACUAGGUCUGUUCGACCUUUAAAUUCUUACGUGAUCUGAGUU
rnacentral:rRNA from 1 species